rnacentral:snoRNA from 1 species
CACACAAAGCACAUGAUGAUGAUUGGAACUGACUUUGCAUGAAGAGCUGCAUUCAAUCCAACACUGAGCUUUGUGUU